rnacentral:rRNA from 1 species
UGAAUACGAGACGCUAAGGCGUUGAAGUGGUGUAUGUCAUACUUCCAAGAAAAGCUUGCACUGUCAUAAGUAAAAAAUGCCUGUACCAUAACCGACACAGGUGGGUAGGUAGAGUAUACUAAGGGGCGCGAGAUAACUCUCUCUAAGGAACUCGGCAAAAUGACUCCGUAACUUCGGGAGAAGGAGUGCCUUGUAAUUAAGGCUGCAAUAACAAGAUCCAAGCAACUGUUUACCAAAAACACAGGUCUCCGCUAAGUCGUAAGACGACGUAUGGGGGCUGACGCCUGCCCAGUGCCAGAAGGUUAAAGAAGUUGGUUAGCAUUAGCGAAGCUAGUAACUGAAGCCCUGGUGAACGGCGGCCGUAACAAUAACGGUCCUAAGGUAGCGAAAUUCCUUGUCGGGUAAGUUCCGACCCGCACGAAAGGCGUAAUGAUUUGGAUUCUGUCUCGGAGAGGGGCUCGGUGAAAUAGACUUGUCUGUGAAGAUGCGGACUACCUGCACCAGGACAGAAAGACCCUAUGAAGCUUUACUGUAACUUGAAAUUGAAAUUGGACUUUAGUUGCGCAGCAUAGGUGGGAGGCGUUGAGAAUAUUCUUGCGGGAAUAUUGGAGCCAUUAGUGAGAUACCACUCUUCUAAUGUUAGAUUUCUAACUUUGAAUCAUUAUCUGGUCAAAGAACAGUUUCAGGCGGGCAGUUUGACUGGGGCGGUCGCCUCCUAAACGGUAACGGAGGCGUACAAAGGUUUCCUCUGAACGGGUAGAAAUCGUAUCUAGAGUGUAAAGGCAUAAGGAAGCUUGACUGUGAGACCUACAAGUCGAACAGGGACGAAAGUCGGUCUUAGUGAUCUGACGGUACUGAGUGGAAAGGCCGUCACUCAACGGAUAAAAGUUACUCUAGGAUAACAGGCUGAUCUCCCCCAAGAGUUCACAUCGACGGGGAGGUUUGGCACCUCGAUGUCGGCUCAUCGCAUCCUGGGGCGGUAGUACGUCCCAAGGGUUGGGCUGUUCGCCCAUGAAAGCGGUACGCGAGCUGGGUUCAGAACGUCGUGAGACAGUUCGGUCCAUAUCCGGUGUAGGCGUUAGAAUAUUGAGAGGAGCCUUCUUUAGUACGAGAGGACCGAGAAGGACAUACCUAUGGUGUACCAGUUAUCGUGCCAACGGUAAACGCUGGGUAGCUAAGUAUGGAGUGGAUAACCGCUGAAAGCAUCUAAGUGGGAAGCCCACCUCAAGAUGAGUAUUCU